AGGACUGUGAGAAAAGAUGAGAGAAGCCAGGACUACAGCAACCUUCCUGGGUGUCUGUCACCGACUUAUCCCUCUAGGCUGAGGAGAUAGUGGGCACUUAAGAGAACGUUUCAGAGGAAGACAUUCUGUUUCCUGACCGCCAUUACUUAAGCAGCUUUGCUUUAUAUGAUGAGCCCAGACAUCACAGGAAGAGCCUACUAUGGACUGAAACCAUGCGCACAACAAAAUCUUCCUUCU
rnacentral:lncRNA from 1 species